rnacentral:rRNA from 1 species
UACGUAGGGUCCGAGCGUUGUCCGGAAUUACUGGGCGUAAAGCGCUCGUAGGUGGUUUGUCGCGUUGUUCGUGAAAACUCACAGCUCAACUGUGGGCGUGCGGGCGAUACGGGCAGACUGGAGUACUGCAGGGGAGACUGGAAUUCCUGGUGUAGCGGUGGAAUGCGCAGAUAUCAGGAGGAACACCGGUGGCGAAGGCGGGUCUCUGGGCAGUAACUGACGCUGAGGAGCGAAAGCGUGGGGAGCGAACAGG